rnacentral:lncRNA from 1 species
CUAGGAGCGCUCUGCCGACGUCAGCUUUUGUCUCCAGUAUUUUCGGGGGCUGGUGGACGCGUGGGCGAUAGGGUGCUGUCCUUGGGGUGCUGUGUAUAUGGGAUGAUGACGCUUAUCAGCAUUAUCUAGUCCUUUCCACCCCGAAAUUCGCCCCGAUUAAAGACUGUGUUGCAUUAUCAGCAAAACUGGAUCACAAGUCUUUCGGUCGGAGAACUGGAAGGUCUGGGCAGAGUCGAGCAGAGGAGACCAUGAUGACUGCCUAGACUUGUGCUCAGUGCUGUGUUGGGGAGAACUGCUACAGACAAUACCUGAAAUUCCACCAAAGCGUGGAGAACUCAAAACGGAGCUUUUGGGACUGAAAGAAAGAAAACACAAACCUCAAGUUUCUCAACAGGAGGAACUUAAAUAACUAUGCCAAGAAUUCUGUGAAUAAUAUAAGUCUUAAAUAUGUAUUUCUUAAUUUAUUGCAUCAAACUACUUGUCCUUAAGCACUUAGUCUAAUGCUAACUGCAAGAGGAGGUGCUCAGUGGAUGUUUAGCCGAUACGUUGAAAUUUAAUUACGGUUUGAUUGAUAUUUCUUGAAAACUGCCAAAGCACAUAUCAUCAAACCAUUUCAUGAAUAUGGUUUGGAAGAUGUUUAGUCUUGAAUAUAACGCGAAAUAGAAUAUUUGUAAGUCUACUAUAUGGGUUGUCUUUAUUUCAUAUAAAUUAAGAAAUUAUUUAAAACUAUGAACUAGUUUCAUUAAUUGAAUUUGCUAAGUGGAGUUAUUUCUCAUUGCUAAACUGUUUUUUUUCAAAUUCUAGAUCUCUGCUAACUUUAGUAAAUGAACACUAAAGUGGUGAGCUUUGAUAAUGCAUUUUGUGGAUACAAAAUCAUCGCCUCAUCACUUUCUAGAAUGAAAGGCUGGGGGCAUUGCUCACCUUUUGCGUGAAGAAAAGACCUGUCCCUUAGAGCCAGUUUUUGCUUAAGGGGAGGACAGACCGUCGUCACCCAGUGGACCACGUGAAUGAAUGGAUGCAGUGCAUGCUUUAGAAGCACCGCAUACCUCCUUUUACAGGUACAGAGUAAGUGGUCUGGCUACUGAGGGAAAGAGUCAUGAUUUGAAUCCGAGUCUUCUGUAAGACAAUGACUUCAUGAAGGUGAAAAAUCAGUUUUAUGGUUAUUAAAGUAAAAAUUUACCUUGGGUAAAAAUGCCAUCUUUAUUUCAUUAAGUACUGGUUCUAAGUGACUUCCAAUAAGAUACAUUUUCUUCCUGUUUUGAAGUUGAUCCCCAUUGUGAAAAAUAUACAUUGUAGUGGUCAUGGAAAUGCGCCAUCCAUACUCCCUAAGGCAGGCUUGUUGCCCUAGUAUCAAGCAUGCCAGCAGCUUUCAAUGGUCAGCUUCUAGAAGGAUUGCCUCGGCUAUGGUGGCCUUGCUCAAAGCCAUGCCUCCUGAAGGGGCCCAAAUCCAGUGACUGUUGGAGGUGAGAAUAGAAAGGCCUGGCCACUUCAGCACGUGAGUGGUGGGCAACUCUGCUGGGCCCACCACAACUCCCUAUGGGGUUUAGGGACACUGUCUUUGGAUCUGCAUUGCAACUCAACUUAUACCUCUGCUCAGUCCUGUUUCCUUUCUCAGGUGUUGAUCGAAGGGUGUGCCUUCAUAGACCCCCUGCUAAACUGCACCUCAGUGUUUCUUGGAGAACCAAAUCUGUAACAUAUAUGCAUUAAAAAUUAAAGGCAGUACUAUAUUA